AGUGAACGCUGGCGGUAGGCCUAACACAUGCAAGUCGAACGGCAGCACAGUAAGAGCUUGCUCUUACGGGUGGCGAGUGGCGGACGGGUGAGGAAUACAUCGGAAUCUACUUUUUCGUGGGGGAUAACGUAGGGAAACUUACGCUAAUACCGCAUACGACCUACGGGUGAAAGCAGGGGAUCUUCGGACCUUGCGCGAUUGAAUGAGCCGAUGUCGGAUUAGCUAGUUGGCGGGGUAAAGGCCCACCAAGGCGACGAUCCGUAGCUGGUCUGAGAGGAUGAGCAGCCACACUGGAACUGAGACACGGUCCAGACUCCUACGGGAGGCAGCAGUGGGGAAUAUUGGACAAUGGGCGCAAGCCUGAUCCAGCCAUACCGCGUGGGUGAAGAAGGCCUUCGGGUUGUAAAGCCCUUUUGUUGGGAAAGAAGAGCAGCAGGUUAAUACCCCGCUGUUCUGACGGUACCCAAAGAAUAAGCACCGGCUAACUUCGUG
rnacentral:rRNA from 1 species